CUAUACAUGCAGUCGAGCGAACAGACGAGGAGCUUGCUCCUCUGACGUUAGCGGCGGACGGGUGAGUAACACGUGGAUAACCUACCUAUAAGACUGGGAUAACUUCGGGAAACCGGAGCUAAUACCGGAUAAUAUAUUGAACCGCAUGGUUCAAUAGUGAAAGACGGUUUUGCUGUCACUUAUAGAUGGAUCCGCGCCGCAUUAGCUAGUUGGUAAGGUAACGGCUUACCAAGGCAACGAUGCGUAGCCGACCUGAGAGGGUGAUCGGCCACACUGGAACUGAGACACGGUCCAGACUCCUACGGGAGGCAGCAGUAGGGAAUCUUCCGCAAUGGGCGAAAGCCUGACGGAGCAACGCCGCGUGAGUGAUGAAGGUCUUCGGAUCGUAAAACUCUGUUAUUAGGGAAGAACAAAUGUGUAAGUAACUAUGCACGUCUUGACGGUACCUAAUCAGAAAGCCACGGCUAACUACGUGCCAGCAGCGGCCCGGGUAAUAA
rnacentral:rRNA from 1 species